AACGAACGCUGGCGGCACGUUUUAAGCAUGCAAGUCGAACGGCAGUGGGGGCAACCCCAUGAGAGUGGCGAACGGGUGAGUAACACGUAGGUGAUCUGCCUUUGGGUUGGGGAUAGCUUGUGGAAACACAGGGUAAUACCGAAUGAGCUGACGAGGCUUUGGCCAUGUUAGUAAAGGUGCUACGGCACCGCCUAGAGAGGAGCCUGCGGCUGAUUAGCUAGUUGGUGGGGUAAAGGCCUACCAAGGCGACGAGCAGUGGCCGGCCUGAGAGGGUGUACGGCCACACUGGAACUGAGACACGGUCCAGACUCCUACGGGAGGCAGCAGCUAAGAAUCUUCCGCAAUGGGCGAAAGCCUGACGGAGCGAUGCCGCGUGAUCGAUGAAGGUCGAGAGAUUGUAAAGAUCUUUUCCAACUGAGGAAUAAGUGGACCAGGGAAUGGGUUCAUGAUGACGUUAAGUUGGGAAUAAGCCCCGGCUAAUUACGUGCCAGCCGCCGCGGUAA
rnacentral:rRNA from 1 species